GUGAGGAAUAUUGGUCAAUGGGCGAGAGCCUGAACCAGCCAAGUCGCGUGAAGGAAGACUGCCCUACGGGUUGUAAACUUCUUUUGCAAUGGAAUAAAAAGAGUUACGUGUAAUUCAUUGUAUGUACAUUGCGAAUAAGGAUCGGCUAACUCCGUGCCAGCAGCCGCGGUAAUACGGAGGAUCCGAGCGUUAUCCGGAUUUAUUGGGUUUAAAGGGUGCGUAGGCGGAUUGGAAAGUCAGCGGUGAAAGUUUGCAGCUUAACUGUAAAAUUGCCAUUGAAACUGUCAGUCUUGAGUGCAAAUGAGGUAGGCGGAAUGUGUUGUGUAGCGGUGAAAUGCAUAGAUAUAACACAGAACACCAAUUGCGAAGGCAGCUUACUGGGAUGCAACUGACGCUGAGGCACGAAAGCGUGGGGAUCAAACAGGAUUAGAUACCCGAGUAGUCC
rnacentral:rRNA from 1 species